GAUGAACGCUGGCGGCGUGCCUAAUACAUGCAAGUCGAGCGAACAGACGAGGAGCUUGCUCCUCUGACGUUAGCGGCGGACGGGUGAGUAACACGUGGAUAACCUACCUAUAAGACUGGGAUAACUUCGGGAAACCGGAGCUAAUACCGGAUAAUAUAUUGAACCGCAUGGUUCAAUAGUGAAAGACGGUUUUGCUGUCACUUAUAGAUGGAUCCGCGCCGCAUUAGCUAGUUGGUAAGGUAACGGCUUACCAAGGCAACGAUGCGUAGCCGACCUGAGAGGUGGAUGGGCCAACCGGGAACUGAGACCCGGGCCAACCCCCUAGGGGAGGCACCAGAGGGGAAUUUUCCGAAAUGGGGGAAAGCCUAAGGGGGCAACCCCGGGGGGGUGAAGAAGGUUUUCGGAUGGUAAAACUCUUUUUUUAGGGAAAAAAAAAUGGUAAAGUAACUUGGCCCGUCUGAACGGUACUAAAAAAAAAAGCCCCGCCUAAUUAGGG
rnacentral:rRNA from 1 species